CCCUUAGAUGUUCUGGGCCGCACGCGCGCUACAAUGAUGAAUUCAACGAGUUUAUAACCUUGGUUGAAAAGCCUGGGUAAUCUUUUGAGCUUUCGUCGUGAUGGGGCUAGACCCUUGCAAUUAUUGGUCUCCAACGAGGAAUUCCUAGUAAACGCAAGUCAUCAGCUUGCAUUGAUUACGUCCCUGCCCUUUGUACACACCGCCCGUCGCACCUACCGAUUGAAUGGUCCGGUGAAAUCUUCGGAUUGAGACUUUGUUUUCUUCACGGAAAACGCUGUUUUAAAAAGUUGAUUAAACCUUACCAUUUAGAGGAAGGUGAAGUCGUAACA
rnacentral:rRNA from 1 species